rnacentral:rRNA from 1 species
UACAGAGGGGGCAAGCGUUGUUCGGAAUUACUGGGCGUAAAGGGCGCGUAGGCGGCCUUCUAAGUCGAACGUGAAAUCCCCGGGCUCAACCCGGGAACUGCGUCCGAUACUGGAAGGCUUGAAUCCGGGAGAGGGAUGCGGAAUUCCAGGUGUAGCGGUGAAAUGCGUAGAUAUCUGGAGGAACACCGGUGGCGAAGGCGGCAUCCUGGACCGGUAUUGACGCUGAUGAGCGAAAGCUAGGGGAGCAAACGGG